CCCUUAGAUGGUCUGGGCGGCACGCGCGCUACAAUGAUGCAUUGAAAAAGUCUUCUGACCUUAGAAGGUUGGGUAUUCUCCAAAGUGCAUCGUGAUGGGAAUAGUUUAUUGCAAUUUUUAAUCUUGAACGAGGAAUUCCUAUUAAGUACAGGUCAUCAACUUGUGUUGAUUACGUCCCUGCCCUUUGUACACACCGCCCGUCGCUCCUACUGAUUGAAUGCUCAGGUGAGCCAUUCGGACUUUCAUCAUGCUGGUUUCCAGUUUUGAUGAAGGAAAGUCUUGCGAACCUUAUCAUUUAGAGGAAGGAGAAGUCGUAACA
rnacentral:rRNA from 1 species